GCACGGCAAAGCGAUGGCGACUAUCGCGUCACGCUGCUGCCAUGGCUGGCCGCGCGCAACGUGGCCGUGUUCGAUCCCUAUCCCGUGCU
rnacentral:tRNA from 1 species